CCUACGGGCGGCAGCAGUGGGGAAUUUUGGACAAUGGGCGCAAGCCUGAUCCAGCUAUUCCGCGUGUGGGAAGACGGCCUUCGGGUUGUAAACCACUUUUGUAGAGAACGAAAAGUCUAUUGCUAAUACCGAUAGACGAUGACGGUACUCUAAGAAUAAGCACCGGCGUACUACGUGACAGCAGCCGCGGUAAUACGUAGGGUGCGAGCGUUAAUCGGAAUUACUGGGCGUAAAGGGUGGGCAGGUGGUUUUGCAAGAUGGAUGUGAAGGCCCCGGGCUUAACCUGGGAAAGGCAUACAUGACUGGAAGACUAGAGUGCGUCAGAGGGGAGUGGAAUUCCAAGGGUAGCAGUGAAAUGCGUAGAUAGUUGGAAGAACACCGAUGGCGAAGGCAGCCCCCUGGGACGCAACUGACGCUCAUACACGAAAGCGUGGGUAGCAAACAGGAUUAGAUACCCCAGUAGUC
rnacentral:rRNA from 1 species